rnacentral:rRNA from 1 species
UACGUAGGGAGCACGCGUUGUCCGGAAUCAUUGGGCGUAAAGCGCGCGUAGGUGGCCAUGUAAGUCCGCUGUGAAAGUCAAAGGCUCAACCUUUGAAAGCCGGUGGAUACUGCAUGGCUAGAGUACGGAAGAGGCGAGUGGAAUUCCUGGUGUAGCGGUGGAAUGCGUAGAGAUCGGGAAGAACAUCAGUGGCGAAGGCGGCCUGCUGGGCUGUUGCUGACGCUGAGGCGCGACAGCGUGGGGGAGCAAACAGG